rnacentral:rRNA from 1 species
AAACCAACAGGGAUUGCCUUAGUAACGGCGAGUGAAGCGGCAAAAGCUCAAAUUUGAAACCGUUCGCGGGUUGUAAUUUGUAGAUAGGUACUGGAUUUUACGAAAGUUCCUUGGAAAAGGACGUCAUAGAGGGUGAUAACCCCGUCGUUUUUUAUCUAUAGUACCUUAUCGAAGAGUCGAGUUGUUUGGGAAUGCAGCUCAAAGUGGGUGGUAAACACCAUCUAAAGCUAAAUAUUGGCGAGAGACCGAUAGCGAACAAGUACAGUGAUGGAAAGAUGAAAAGCACUUUGAAAAGAGAGUGAAAUAGUACGUGAAAUUGUUGAAAGGGAAGGGUAGGGUGGUAGUUGGAAAAAGAGGUGGAUAUGGUGAGGAUAAACAUUGGUCACUCAGUCUCGGUUGCAUUCCAAACAUACUCGCUACGCUCGUCUUUUUGUCAUAAUACCACUCCACCAC